AUGGUUCAAAACUAUAGGAAGGCCAAGACCUCGCUACAGAUGCUCAUCUGCUGGGAGAUUUGGAAUGAGAGGAACGCUAGGGUGUUUCGUUCCAAACCUUGCCAUCCUUCCAGAGUGGUCGUGACGAUCAAAGACGAGGCUAAGACGUGGGUCAUCGCCUGGGCUAGAUUAUUGGGCAAUUUAAUUAUGGGAGAGUAG
rnacentral:rRNA from 1 species